rnacentral:lncRNA from 1 species
UUAAUGCCUAUACCUUUCCGCCAUUACUAUCUCUGAUACUAAAUCCCUCCACAAGAAACUUUCCAAAACCCUCUCUCCAUCUCGCUCCCCGAAUCCAAAUCUAUCGCCGAGAAGCUCUCGCCAUGAUGGGGAGGGCAGCCACCGCAAGGACCGCCCGUCGCCGCUCUCUCCUCCCCUUCUCCGCCGCUUCUCCAUCGUGGGCUGGAAUCAGAGAUGUGAUCAGAGCCAUGGGCUCUUGUGGGCACUUGCGGAAGGGUCUCCGUUGUCGCCAGUUCCACUCCACCACUCCUCCUCAGUACAGCUAUGGAAGCUCGUCUCUGGUAUUGCUUCUCAGUGUCCUAUUUUUCUUGGAAUUGAAUAGAUGAAUGUAUGGUUGUCAUUGUUUUCAAGGCGAUUUAAAUAUACUAGAUUACAAUAAUCGACACUAAAGGUUGCUCCUUUAACAAAUGAACUAAGGAUUCUGUACUUUCUUUCAGGAGUGAUUUAUGGUAGUAAGUUUCCGCUUUGGCAUUGGAUAAGAACGCACAAUGGUAAAGCAUUAGCCCCAUAAAACUGGUUCCUUUGUCGAUGAAAGGGAAGGAGGACUCUUCCUUGCUUGAUUUGGAGCUGCAAACUCGUAAUGACAGAGGUGUCAGAACCAGUAGUUUACAUGUGCAGAUGAAUCAUACAAGGGAAGCAUUUUGAUGUUCUUUGGACAUUCAUCUGGGUCCAUGAAGUCAUAGUUUAAUUGGUAAAGUAGUGAGAAUCUUGGUUCCAUUUCAUCCUCUUUGCAUCAUCACUAGGCGUAUUCAUGGAGAACUCUGAAAGGGGCAGCCAUCCAAUAGUUGUACUGUUGAAAGGAACCAAAAUUCAUGCAUUACAUCCUGGAGCUUCACUCUUUUUUCUUCAUUGGUGUUAUUCAACCUGUGUGACAAUCAAAAGCAAGUAAUUAGGUACUAUUAUGGUCACUUUCGAUUUCAUAUAUGACAGUAUUUGCCAAUUUUUAUUGU